GAGUUUGAUCCUGGCUCAGAUUGAACGCUGGCGGCAGGCUUAACACAUGCAAGUCGAACGGUAACAUGAGUGCUUGCACUUGAUGACGAGUGGCGGACGGGUGAGUAAAGUAUGGGGAUCUGCCGAAUGGAGGGGGACAACAGUUGGAAACGACUGCUAAUACCGCAUAAAGUUGAGAGACCAAAGCAUGGGACUUACGGGCCAUGCGCCAUUCGAUGAGCCCAUAUGGGAUUAGCUAGUUGGUAGGGUAAUGGCUUACCAAGGCGACGAUCUCUAGCUGGUCUGAGAGGAUGACCAGCCACACUGGAACUGAGACACGGUCCAGACUCCUACGGGAGGCAGCAGUGGGGAAUAUUGCACAAUGGGGGGAACCCUGAUGCAGCCAUGCCGCGUGUAUGAAGAAGGCCUUCGGGUUGUAAAGUACUUUCGGCGAUGAGGAAGGUGGUGUAUCUAAUAGGUGCAUCAAUUGACGUUAAUUACAGAAGAAGCACCGGCUAACUCCGUGCCAGCAGCCGCGGUAAUACGGAGGGUGCGAGCGUUAAUCGGAACGACUGGGCGUAAAGGGCAUGUAGGCGGAUAAUUAAGUUAGGUGUGAAAGCCCUGGGCUCAACCUAGGAAUUGCACUUAAAACUGGUUAACUAGAGUAUUGUAGAGGAAGGUAGAAUUCCACGCGUAGCGGUGAAAUGCGUAGAGAUGUGGAGGAAUACCGGUGGCGAAGGCAGCCUUCUGGACAGAUACUGACGCUGAGAUGCGAAGGCGUGGGGAGCAAACAGGAUUAGAUACCCUGGUAGUCCACGCUGUAAACGAUGUCGAUUUGGAGUUUGUUGCCUAGAGUGAUGGGCUCCGAAGCUAACGCGAUAAAUCGACCGCCUGGGGAGUACGGCCGCAAGGUUAAAACUCAAAUGAAUUGACGGGGGCCCGCACAAGCGGUGGAGCAUGUGGUUUAAUUCGAUGCAACGCGAAGAACCUUACCUGGUCUUGACAUCCACAGAAUUUUGCAGAGAUGCGAGAGUGCCUUCGGGAACUGUGAGACAGGUGCUGCAUGGCUGUCGUCAGCUCGUGUUGUGAAAUGUUGGGUUAAGUCCCGCAACGAGCGCAACCCUUAUCCUUUGUUGCUAUUGGUUCGGCCGGGAACUCAAAGGAGACUGCCGUUGAUAAAGCGGAGGAAGGUGGGGACGACGUCAAGUCAUCAUGGCCCUUACGACCAGGGCUACACACGUGCUACAAUGGCGUAUACAAAGGGAGGCGA
rnacentral:rRNA from 1 species